rnacentral:rRNA from 1 species
GACGUAGGGCGCGGAGCGUUGUCCGGAUUUAUUGGGCGUAAAGAGCUCGUAGGCGGUUUGUCGCGUCUGCUGUGAAAACUGGAGGCUCAACCUCCAGCCUGCAGUGGGUACGGGCAGACUAGAGUGCGGUAGGGGAGAUUGGAAUUCCUGGUGUAGCGGUGGAAUGCGCAGAUAUCAGGAGGAACACCGAUGGCGAAGGCAGAUCUCUGGGACCGUAACUGGACGCUGAGGAGCGAAAGCAUGGGGAGCGAACAGG